rnacentral:rRNA from 1 species
GCUGGCGGCAGGCCUAACACAUGCAAGUCGAGCGGUAGCACAGAGAAGCUUGCUUCUUGGGUGACGAGCGGCGGACGGGUGAGUAACGCGUAGGAAUCUACCUAAUGGUGGGGGAUAGCCCAGGGAAACUUGGAUUAAUACCGCAUAAGUCCUAAGGGAGAAAGCGGGGGAUCUUCGGACCUCGUGCCAUUAGAUGAGCCUGCGUAAGAUUAGCUAGUUGGUGAGGUAAGAGCUCACCAAGGCGACGAUCUUUAGCUGGUCUGAGAGGAUGAUCAGCCACACUGGGACUGAGACACGGCCCAGACUCCUACGGGAGGCAGCAGUGGGGAAUAUUGGACAAUGGGAGCAACCCUGAUCCAGCCAUGCCGCGUGUGUGAAGAAGGCCUUCGGGUUGUAAAGCACUUUCAGAUGUGAGGAAAGGUUGCAGAUUAAUACUCUGUGGCUGUGACGUUAACAUCAGAAGAAGGACCGGCUAACUCCGUGCCAGCAGCCGCGGUAAUACGGAGGGUCCGAGCGUUAAUCGGAAUUACUGGGCGUAAAGCGCGCGUAGGUGGUUUCGUCAGUCAGAUGUGAAACCCAGG